rnacentral:misc_RNA from 1 species
CAUAGAUCUCUUCCAUGUCAUCCCUAAUGAAAAAUUCAAUCAAAUUGCUUCAAUUAUCAUUCACAAUCUGCUAAUAAUUCUUUUACCUCAAGAUUGCUCAUAGCAUUUGAAACCAGGAAGGAGAUCAUAGGGUAAAACAGCAACAAGAGGAAGAACAGGAGAUGAACACAAAAUAUUUGCCUGACAGAGCAGAUAAAGGGAAAUAAAGUAGAACUUCAAUAGACAAUAUAGAUCAGUUGUCCUGCAUGAACCAAAACACUUCAAUUUACAUCACAAAUAAUAAAUAAAAUCAAUAUUUAGAUUAAAAAUGAAAAACGAAUUACAUAAUUGUUCGCUCAAACCCCAAAAACAGAUGAGACAACCAGCUUGUAUAAG